ACGCUGAAAUAAGCGUCUUGUUGUCCCUUCUAUCAGUAAUGAUAGAAUUAGUAUGCGGCUUAUAACGGUGGAGCGAGAAUCGGUCUUUCCUCAAAAGAGGUUUUCGUAUUCUCGUAAUACCGUGGGAAGUCCCACUACUUAAGUAAAGUGGGACCCCGUAACGACUGGAUUCGAGUCCCGCCAACAGGCGAGAUAAGAUGAAGAUAGUGGAUGCCCGAGUGCUCGAUGUUCGAAUAGCACCGCUAUAAUACGCCGCCUCCAGCCGUAAUUUUUGAUUGGGCUUUAAGGUUCAACCUUCUUCCCGAUUCAAGAUUGAACCUUGGAAUCAAAAAUUACGGCUGGAUGAAGAUAUAGUCUAAUUAUCGAAAGAUAAAU
rnacentral:ncRNA from 2 species